rnacentral:rRNA from 1 species
AUUGAACGCUGGCGGCAUGCUUUACACAUGCAAGUCGAACGGUAACAGGUCUUCGGAUGCUGACGAGUGGCGAACGGGUGAGUAAUACAUCGGAACGUGCCUAGUAGUGGGGGAUAACUACUCGAAAGAGUAGCUAAUACCGCAUGAGAUCUACGGAUGAAAGCAGGGGACCUUCGGGCCUUGUGCUACUAGAGCGGCUGAUGGCAGAUUAGGUAGUUGGUGGGGUAAAGGCUUACCAAGCCUGCGAUCUGUAGCUGGUCUGAGAGGACGACCAGCCACACUGGGACUGAGACACGGCCCAGACUCCUACGGGAGGCAGCAGUGGGGAAUUUUGGACAAUGGGCGAAAGCCUGAUCCAGCAAUGCCGCGUGCAGGAUGAAGGCCCUCGGGUUGUAAACUGCUUUUGUACGGAGCGAAAAGCCUGGGGCUAAUAUCCCCGGGUCAUGACGGUACCGUAAGAAUAAGCACCGGCUAACUACGUGCCAGCAGCCGCGGUAAUACGUAGGGUGCAAGCGUUAAUCGGAAUUACUGGGCGUAAAGCGUGCGCAGGCGGUUUUGUA